rnacentral:rRNA from 1 species
UAGGGAAUCUUCGGCAAUGGGGGGAACCCUGACCGAGCAACGCCGCGUGAGUGAAGAAGGUUUUCGGAUCGUAAAGCUCUGUUGUUAAGGAAGAACGAGUGUGAGAAUGGAAAGUUCAUGCUGUGACGGUACUUAACCAGAAAGGGACGGCUAACUACGUGCCAGCAGCCGCGGUAAUACGUAGGUCCCGAGCGUUGUCCGGAUUUAUUGGGCGUAAAGCGAGCGCAGGCGGUUAGAAAAGUCUGAAGUGAAAGGCAGUGGCUCAACCAUUGUAGGCUUUGGAAACUGUAGAACUUGAGUGCAGAAGGGGAGAGUGGAAUUCCAUGUGUAGCGGUGAAAUGCGUAGAUAUAUGGAAGAACACCGGUGGCGAAAGCGGCUCUCUGGUCUGUAACUGACGCUGAGGCUCGAAAGCGUGGGGAGCGAACAGG